rnacentral:rRNA from 1 species
CAGUAGCCGCGGUAAAACGGAGGAUCCAAGCGUUAUCCGGAAUCAUUGGGUUUAAAGGGUCCGUAGGCGGUCUUGUAAGUCAGUGGUGAAAGCCCAUCGCUCAACGGUGGAACGGCCAUUGAUACUGCAGGACUUGAAUUAUUGGGAAGUAACUAGAAUAUGUAGUGUAGCGGUGAAAUGCUUAGAGAUUACAUGGAAUACCAAUUGCGAAGGCAGGUUACUACCAAUUGAUUGACGCUGAUGGACGAAAGCGUGGGUAGCGAACAGGAUUAGAUACCCGGGUAGUCCCUGUCUCUUAUAC